rnacentral:rRNA from 1 species
AGAGUUUGAUCCUGGCUCAGGAUGAACGCUAGCUACAGGCUUAACACAUGCAAGUCGAGGGGCAGCAUGAUUGAAGCUUGCUUCAAUUGAUGGCGACCGGCGCACGGGUGAGUAACGCGUAUCCAACCUUCCGUACACUCAGGGAUAGCCUUUCGAAAGAAAGAUUAAUACCUGAUGGUAUGAUGAGAUUGCAUGAUAGCAUCAUUAAAGAUUUAUCGGUGUACGAUGGGGAUGCGUUCCAUUAGGUAGUAGGCGGGGUAACGGCCACCUAGCCUACGAUGGAUAGGGGUUCUGAGAGGAAGGUCCCCCANAUUGGAACUGAGACACGGUCCAAACUCCUACGGGAGGCA